GAUAAUGCGCCGCCCCCGGCCGCCACGUGGUACGAGAACGUGGUCUAGACUGUUCUAGAAAAAAAGAGUUAAUAUUAUAUGCUUUGCAGAAUCGUACAUGAAUUUCGUGGUCGUGGUGAGGAUCUUAUGCAAGAUAAGCUGCCUACAGAAGUGAAGUCGAUCACGUCAGUAAGUCAGUAAUUCGUGUAGUCCGAAGGAACGAAGAUGGAGUCCAUUGAAAAUAUUUUUGGGCAAUACACACGCUUCAUUUGUGGCACUGUUGCUGCAGUGGUACUGGUGCCGAUGAGUCUGGUCGUGGUGUUCAUUUUAUGCAGACAGAAUCACAAGCUGCCACUACAGGCAAUUGACAGUGGGGAAAGCUCUGAGAUGGUGUGCUCUCGUGAUUGUUAUGAUACUCCAUAACAACCACGAAAACAGAACCACCUAAUGCCGACAUUUAUUGCUUAUUAAUUGUUUCCAUCUUCAUUUACAUCAUUAACCACCAUCUGAUUCACUUCAUUUUAGCUCAAUAUCAAAUAUUUAUCUUGUGUGCCUGUUCCCUGUACAAUUUAAUCGAUAUUGAUCAUUAAACCUGAUAGGUGGUAU